GGCAGUUCCGGUGUCCCGUUUCAAGUUUUGAAUUCACAAAGGAAGCGCCCAUUCUAGUGCCGUCGUCUUGUAGCGAGUGUAAAUGAAGGAAGAUUCAUAUGCCUAAGAAAGUGAAGUAAAAGAGUAAAAAAAAAACAUGGCAUCCAUAGGCCGUUAUUAAUGGAGCUACUGUAAGUAUUGGCGAAGAUGGACACGAAAACUUAAAAUUCAAUAUCCAUUAUCAGAUCACCAGUCCUGAGCUGCAGUAUGUGCUACCUGCCAACGUACCAGUACUUUCUAUGGAGGCAUUAUAAUAAUUUUGAUCGGUUCUUGAAGAUGGUCUUGUGCAAACAUUUGGGCCAGUUUGCAGAAUUCUGAAGUGCGAGGAUGCAACUACUGUAGAUGUGAAAAAAAGGAGGCGAUUGAAUACUUUCUUAAUAACCUUUGUGAAAAGUAUGAGGGAAAAGGUAUUCGUACUUCUGUUACUAUGAUUCAUGGUGAAACUAUUGACGAUUCUCAUUGAUACACUCUUGCAUGGACCCUAUCAAUUUGAGGAUAUUCAUAAUCUGUAAAAACGUUAAAUAUGUGAUAUUCACAAUGCGAUCAAAAUGAUGGAAUAUUCUUACUUUCCAAGGAGCUGGAGAAAUUGAAUUG